GUCUAGGGUCUGAUGAGGUCUAGGGUCUGAUGAGGUCUAGGGGUCUUGUUACGUCACACAUUUGGACGGCUGGCGGGUGUGCGACGAACGAUGUUCAGCGUCAAAUCAAGUGCCUGAAAC
rnacentral:lncRNA from 1 species